rnacentral:rRNA from 1 species
AUUGAACGCUGGCGGCAGGCCUAACACAUGCAAGUCGAGCGGAUGAAGGGAGCUUGCUCCUGGAUUCAGCGGCGGACGGGUGAGUAAUGCCUAGGAAUCUGCCUGGUAGUGGGGGAUAACGUCCUGAAACGGGCGCUAAUACCGCAUACUUCCUGAUGGUGAAAGUGGGGGAUCUUCGGACCUCACGCUAUCAUAUGAGCCUAGGUCGGAUUAGCUAGUUGGUGGGGUUAAGGCCUACCAAGGCGACGAUCCGUAACUGGUCUGAGAGGAUGAUCAGUCACAGUGGAAGUGGACCAGGGACCAGACUACUGCGGGAGGCAGCAGUGGGGAAUAUUGGGCAGUGGGCGGAAGCCUGAUCCAGCCAUGCCGCGUGUGUGAAAGAGGUCUUCGGAUUGUAAAGAAGUUUAAGUUGGGAGGAAGGGCAGUAAGUUAAUACCUUGCUGGUUUGACGUUAACAACAGAAUAAGCACCGGCUAACUUCGUG